AUAAUUAUCAUAAUUACAAUCAGUCAUCAUCGCGGCCAAUUCCGACGUGUCUGCGCGCGCGCCGAUGCGCACGUGCACGUUCAUUCAUCGCUGACGCCUUAAACUUACCCAUUUUCAUACAGCUGGCAGUGUUUUACAAAGCAAUAUAUUCUUUUUUUCACAGUUAUCCAUGGAACGGAUGAAGUGACCAACACAUAAUAUGCACUAUUAAUAAAAGCCCGAUUGUGUUUCAGUGCAGAAAACAUGUGGUGCAUAAAUCUGUGUACAAAACACUCUGCAGCCUCCACUAAAUACAUACACAUGUACAAAUAAUAUACUCCAUACUUGCAUAUUCAGUGAAAAUACUACACUAUUUACAGCUUCCAGGAGUUUCAAAAUACUGUUGUAUAAGGAGGAAGCAAAAAAUGAGGGUUUGGAAUAAAAGUACGAUUUGGCACUUUUGGGGGGGCGCAGUUCUAAAAAAGGUCACAUUCUUUUAAUCUUCAAGUAAAAAAAUGAUUUAUAGGAAUCACAUGACUAACAGUCAGUCACCCCAGGUAAGUUCAUAACCUACUGGGGCAGGUGCGAGACACAACAGGUAUUUCGGUUUACGGUCACCGUGUCAUGCAGGACCCCCCUCCCUCCGCGUCCCUGGAGGACUGUGUGUAUACUAAGAUACCAUAGUACUGUACGGACAGGCUACGGGGGACAGUGGUUCGCACUCACGCUUUUGGAGCCCAACAGCGGAGGUUCGAAUUCCACCUCUGCUCUAGUCUAGUACGUUGGUUGAGGUACUUUCUCUGACUUUAUUCCCGCUCUGUAAAUGUGGCUUAAAACUAGUGCGAAAAGCGUCCGAAAUCGAAGGGACUUCGUUAAAACUGGCGGCGCGUCGUCGCCUCAGACAGUUCGCUGAGGCGGGACUGAAGAACUAGGGCUCCGCGAGCGGGACUGUGCGCGCGACGGAGGAUGCUGUAAUACCCCUUUAAAAGGCCGAAACGUUCCGAGCGCCUCUGCAUCGAGCGCGCGCGGCCGCUCCAUCCGCCGCGCGCGCGACGCCCAGCCCAGAACCGAGGAAUACAGAGAAUAUACAUACGUCUUGAGCGGUCUGGUGUCUGCUUUUGCCAAAGGACAGAGCGGGGUGAGUCGAGGUUCUGUGCCCCGCGUCCCUGUGUGCCCCUGCGGUGCCUUUGUCGACCUCGCGGUUGCGUUCGAUUAACGUGUCAGCAGUUUCCCAGCACCCAGCCAAUGCAGCGUCGCACGGCGGAUUUUAACGGACAACCUCCAAAAAUGAGUUUAAAAUCCAACCGGGACAUCACGGUGACUUUUUAUCGUUCAAGUUUUCACUCGGACGUACCUGUGAGCGCUAAUCACAUCUGCUCAUUAGCAGAACCGUUCCAUCGCUUCAGUCGCGGGUGCCGAAAGGAAACGAGAAGGAAGGCGCCCGACGCUGGCAGUGUGAUGCUUUAA
rnacentral:lncRNA from 1 species